UGGGGAAUCUUGCGCAAUGGGCGAAAGCCUGACGCAGCCAUGCCGCGUGAAUGAUGAAGGUCUUAGGAUUGUAAAAUUCUUUCACCGGGGACGAUAAUGACGGUACCCGGAGAAGAAGCCCCGGCUAACUUCGUGCCAGCAGCCGCGGUAAUACGAAGGGGGCUAGCGUUGCUCGGAAUUACUGGGCGUAAAGGGAGCGUAGGCGGACUGUUAAGUUAGAGGUGAAAGCCCAGGGCUCAACCUUGGAAUUGCCUUUGAUACUGGCAGUCUUGAGGACGGAAGAGGUAUGUGGAACUCCGAGUGUAGAGGUGAAAUUCGUAGAUAUUCGGAAGAAGACCAGUGGCGAAGGCGACAUACUGGUCCGUUACUGACGCUAAGGCUCGAAAGCGUGGGGAGCAAACA
rnacentral:rRNA from 1 species